GCCACUGUGGCUUAGCGGUAGAUCUUGGGCAACCCGGUCCCGGAUCCGCCAGAUAGCGACGCCUUGGUAAGGCGUAGAUCGAGGGUUCGAAUCCCUCCAGUGGCU
rnacentral:tRNA from 1 species